AGAGUUUGAUUAUGGCUCAGGACGAACGCUGGCGGCGUGCCUAAUACAUGCAAGUAGAACGCUGAAGAGAGGAGCUUGCUCUUCUUGGAUGAGUUGCGAACGGGUGAGUAACGCGUAGGUAACCUGCCUUGUAGCGGGGGAUAACUAUUGGAAACGAUAGCUAAUACCGCAUAACAAUGGAUGACACAUGUCAUUUAUUUGAAAGGGGCAAUUGCUCCACUACAAGAUGGACCUGCGUUGUAUUAGCUAGUAGGUGAGGUAACGGCUCACCUAGGCGACGAUACAUAGCCGACCUGAGAGGGUGAUCGGCCACACUGGGACUGAGACACGGCCCAGACUCCUACGGGAGGCAGCAGUAGGGAAUCUUCGGCAAUGGGGGCAACCCUGACCGAGCAACGCCGCGUGAGUGAAGAAGGUUUUCGGAUCGUAAAGCUCUGUUGUAAGUCAAGAACGAGUGUGAGAGUGGAAAGUUCACACUGUGACGGUAGCUUACCAGAAAGGGACGGCUAACUACGUGCCAGCAGCCGCGGUAAU
rnacentral:rRNA from 1 species